AGAAGACAUCUGAAGGAGAUUAAAGAUUUAUCGGUGAUGGAUGGGGAUGCGUCUGAUUAGCUUGUUGGCGGGGUAACGGCCCACCAAGGCUACGAUCAGUAGGGGUUCUGAGAGGAAGGUCCCCCACAUUGGAACUGAGACACGGUCCAAACUCCUACGGGAGGCAGCAGUGAGGGAUAUUGGUCUAUGGGCGAGAGCCUGAACCAGCCAAGUAGCGUGCAGGAUGACGGCCCUAUGGGUUGUAAACUGCUUUUAUAAGGGAAUAAAGUGAGCCUCGUGAGGCUUUUUGCAUGUACCUUAUGAAUAAGGACCGGCUAAUUCCGUGCCAGCAGCCGCGGUAAUACGGAAGGUCCGGGCGUUAUCCGGAUUUAUUGGGUUUAAAGGGAGCGUAGGCCGGAGAUUAAGCGUGUUGUGAAAUGUAGAUGCUCAACGUCUGCACUGCAGCGCGAACUGGUUUCCUUGAGUACGCACAAAGUGGGCGGAAUUCGUGGUGUAGCGGUGAAAUGCUUAGAUAUCACGAAGAACUCCGAUUGCGAAGGCAGCUCACUGGAGCGCAACUGACGCUGAAGCUCGAAAGUGCGGGUAUCGAACAGGAUUAGAUACCCUGGUAGUCCGCACGGUAAACGAUGGAUGCCCGCUGUUGGUCUGAAUAGGUCAGCGGCCAAGCGAAAGCAUUAAGCAUCCCACCUGGGGAGUA
rnacentral:rRNA from 1 species